rnacentral:rRNA from 1 species
GAUGAACGCUGGCGGCGUGCCUAAUACAUGCAAGUCGAGCGAACGGACGAGAAGCUUGCUUCUCUGAUGUUAGCGGCGGACGGGUGAGUAACACGUGGAUAACCUACCUAUAAGACUGGGAUAACUUCGGGAAACCGGAGCUAAUACCGGAUAAUAUUAUGAACCGCAUGGUUCAACAGUGAAAGACGGUCUUGCUGUCACUUAUAGAUGGAUCCGCGCUGCAUUAGCUAGUUGGUAAGGUAACGGCUUACCAAGGCAACGAUGCAUAGCCGACCUGAGAGGGUGAUCGGCCACACUGGAACUGAGACACGGUCCAGACUCCUACGGGAGGCAGCAGUAGGGAAUCUUCCGCAAUGGGCGAAAGCCUGACGGAGCAACGCCGCGUGAGUGAUGAAGGUCUUCGGAUCGUAAAACUCUGUUAUUAGGGAAGAACAUAUGUGUAAGUAACUGUGCACAUCUUGACGGUACCUAAUCAGAAAGCCACGGCUAACUACGUG